AUGGCAUGAUGGGGACAUUUUCUAAUGAGAUCCUUUAAUCUUUCCCAUGCUUCAUGGAACUUCUCACUAUCUUGCUAUGAGAGACUACUGAGAGCUCCCCUU
rnacentral:snoRNA from 1 species